rnacentral:rRNA from 1 species
UGCGUAGGCGGCUUGGCAAGUUGGGUGUGAAAUCCCUCGGCUCAACCGAGGAAUUGCGCUCAAAACUGCUAAGCUUGAGGGAGAUAGGGGUGAGCGGAACUAAUGGUGGAGCGGUGAAAUGCGUUGAUAUCAUUAGGAACACCGGAGGCGAAAGCGGCUCACUGGGUCUCUUCUGACGCUGAGGCACGAAAGCUAGGGGAGCGAACG